GAUGAACGCUGGCGGCGUGCCUAAUACAUGCAAGUCGAGCGAACAGACGAGGAGCUUGCUCCUCUGACGUUAGCGGCGGACGGGUGAGUAACACGUGGAUAACCUAUCUAUAAGACUGGGAUAACUUCGGGAAACCGGAGCUAAUACCGGAUAAUAUAUUGAACCGCAUGGUUCAAUAGUGAAAGACGGUUUUGCUGUCACUUAUAGAUGGAUCCGCGCCGCAUUAGCUAGUUGGUAAGGUAACGGCUUACCAAGGCGACGAUGCGUAGCCGACCUGAGAGGGUGAUCGGCCCAACUGGAACUGAGACACGGUCCAGACUCCUAAGGGAGGCAGCAGUAGGGAAUCUUCCGCAAUGGGCGAAAGCCUGACGGAGCAACGCCGCGUGAGUGAUGAAGGUCUUCGGAUCGUAAAACUCUGUUAUUAGGGAAGAACAAAUGUGUAAGUAACUAUGCACGUCUUGACGGUACCUAAUCAGAAAGCCACGGCUAACUACGUG
rnacentral:rRNA from 1 species